rnacentral:rRNA from 1 species
GAUGAACGCUGGCGGCGUGCUUAACACAUGCAAGUCGAACGGGAAUUAUUUUAUUGAACCUUCGGUCGAUUUCAUUUAAUUCUAGUGGCGGACGGGUGAGUAACGCGUGGGUAACCUGCCUUAUACAGGGGGAUAACAGUCAGAAAUGGCUGCUAAUACCGCAUAAGCGCACAGAGCUGCAUGGCUCAGUGUGGAAAACUCCGGUGGUAUAAGAUGGACCCGCGUUGGAUUAGCUGGUUGGUGGGGUAACGGCCCACCAAGGCGACGAUCCAUAGCCGGCCUGAGAGGGUGAACGGCCACAUUGGGACUGAGACACGGCCCAGACUCCUACGGGAGGCAGCAGUGGGGAAUAUUGCACAAUGGGGGAAACCCUGAUGCAGCGACGCCGCGUGAAGGAAGAAGUAUCUCGGUAUGUAAACUUCUAUCAGCAGGGAAGAUAGUGACGGUACCUGACGAAGAAGCCCCGGCUAACUACGUG